rnacentral:misc_RNA from 1 species
CCCAGGUGUCAAUCCACGGGAGCAGUAUUCAUCAGCCUACGAUGUUCUUGAGGAUCAUGGGCUUCCCAUGGGCCUACUCCCUAAGGGCGUUAAGGAUUUCAGAAUCGAAGAUACGGGCCAUUUCGUGGUCCACUUGGAUCAGGCUUGCAACGCCAAGUUCGAGAGCGAAUUGCAUUACGAUAGGAAUGUUUCUGGGACUCUGAGCUACGGCCAGAUCGGGGCUUUGUCUGGAAUUUCUGCUCAAGAGUUGUUUUUGUGGUUUCCGGUCAAGGGAAUUCGGGUAGAUGUGCCCAGUUCGGGCCUUAUUUAUUUCGAUGUUGGUGUAGUGUCUAAGCAGUUCUCGCUUUCCUUGUUUGAGACACCGAGGGAUUGUUUGGCGGUUCAAGAUGGGCAAACGGAGGCUAUUGAGACAGGAAGGCUCAUUGCCGAGGCUGUGUCCAAGAGCCAACUUGGGGGGUUAAGAUAUCAACUCGAUCAAGAGAAUUUUGGGAGGGGUGUUCUGUAGAAUGCGUUGAGAAAGUUUCUUAAGACGGGUCAUAGUUCAAUCAACUCAUGGUUUCUCAUUUUCACCUUGUAAAUAUCAUCAGAGAUUCUGCUUUAACGGGUCCAAUGCUUCCAGUCAGUGUGUUUGCUUGUGUUCUUUUUUCCCUAUAAAGUGCAGAAUAUGCAACUUAGCAGAGCCGGUUCUUGUCUGUGCAUGGAUGCCCGAUGGACCUCUUUGAGAGGGAAACUUAAUGAAGUAGCAGCAUGAUCAUCAAAGGCUUCCUGCCUGCAGAACUUAAAGUUUUGGCUGAGGUGAUUUCAGGUG